rnacentral:rRNA from 1 species
CAGGCUUAACACAUGCAAGUCGAGGGGCAGCAUGGUCUUAGCUUGCUAAGACUGAUGGCGACCGGCGCACGGGUGAGUAACACGUAUCCAACCUGCCGUCUACUCUUGGACAGCCUUCUGAAAGGAAGAUUAAUACAAGAUGGCAUCAUGAGUCCGCAUGUUCACAUGAUUAAAGGUAUUCCGGUAGACGAUGGGGAUGCGUUCCAUUAGAUAGUAGGGGGGGUAACGGCCCACCUAGUCUUCGAUGGAUAGGGGUUCUGAGAGGAAGGUCCCCCACAUUGGAACUGAGACACGGUCCAAACUCCUACGGGAGGCAGCAGUGAGGAAUAUUGGUCAAUGGGCGAGAGCCUGAACCAGCCAAGUAGCGUGAAGGAUGACUGCCCUAUGGGUUGUAAACUUCUUUUAUAAAGGAAUAAAGUCGGGUAUGCAUACCCGUUUGCAUGUACUUUGUGAAUAAGGAUCGGCUAACUCCGUGCCAGCAGCCGCGGUAAUACGGAGGAUCCGAGCGUUAUCCGGAUUUAUUGGGUUUAAAGGGAGCGUAGAUGGAUGUUUAAGUCAGUUGUGAAAGUUUGCGGCUCAACCGUAAAAUUGCAGUUGAUACUGGAUAUCUUGAGUGCAGUUGAGGCAGGCGGAAUUCGUGGUGUAGCGGUGAAAUGCUUAGAUAUCACGAAGAACUCCGAUUGCGAAGGCAGCCUGCUAAGCUGCAACUGACAUUGAGGCUCGAAAGUGUGGGUAUCAAACAGGAUUAGAUACCCUGGUAGUCCACACGGUAAACGAUGAAUACUCGCUGUUUGCGAUAUACUGCAAGCGGCCAAGCGAAAGCGUUAAGUAUUCCACCUGGGGAGUACGCCGGCAACGGUGAAACUCAAAGGAAUUGACGGGGGCCCGCACAAGCGGAGGAACAUGUGGUUUAAUUCGAUGAUACGCGAGGAACCUUACCCGGGCUUAAAUUGCAGAUGAAUUACGGUGAAAGCCGUAAGCCGCAAGGCAUCUGUGAAGGUGCUGCAUGGUUGUCGUCAGCUCGUGCCGUGAGGUGUCGGCUUAAGUGCCAUAACGAGCGCAACCCUUGUUGUCAGUUACUAACAGGUUCCGCUGAGGACUCUGACAAGACUGCCAUCGUAAGAUGUGAGGAAGGUGGGGAUGACGUCAAAUCAGCACGGCCCUUACGUCCGGGGCUACACACGUGUUACAAUGGGGGGUACAGAGGGCCGCUACCACGCGAGUGGAUGCCAAUCCCCAAAACCUCUCUCAGUUCGGACUGGAGUCUGCAACCCGACUCCACGAAGCUGGAUUCGCUAGUAAUCGCGCAUCAGCCACGGCGCGGUGAAUACGUUCCCGGGCCUUGUACACACCGCCCGUCAAGCCACGGGAGCCGGGGGUACCUGAAGUGCGUAACCGCGAGGAGCGCCCUAGGGUAAAACUGGUGACUGGGGCUAA